rnacentral:rRNA from 1 species
AUUAUUAUCGAGGGUGUGACGGAGAAGGAUAGUGUGUGCUAGCGAUUGGAAAUGCUAGUCUAAGCGUUUAGGCAGUUACGGUAGGCAAAUCCGCUGUAACGUUAAUGCCGAGGCGUGAUGGGGAAGGCCCUUGAGGCUGAAGUACAUGAUUCCAUGCUUCCAAGAAAAGCAUCUAGAGAGAGAAGUAGUGCCCGUACCGCAAACCGACACAGGUAGAUGAGGAGAGAAUCCUAAGGCCGGCGGAAGAAUUGCAGUUAAGGAACUAGGCAAAUUGACCCCGUAAGUUAGCGAGAAGGGGUGCCUGCGAGAGCAGGCCGCAGAGAAUAGGCCCAAGCAACUGUUUAGCAAAAACACAGGUCUCUGCUAAAGCGCAAGCUGAUGUAUAGGGGCUGACGCCUGCCCGGUGCUGGAAGGUUAAGGGGAACACUUAGCGCAAGCGAAGGUGUGAACUUAAGCCCCAGUAAACGGCGGCCGUAACCAUAACGGUCCUAAGGUAGCGAAAUUCCUUGUCAGGUAAGUUCUGACCCGCACGAAUGGCGUAAUGACUUGGGCACUGUCUCAACUGCAAAUCCGGCGAAGUUGUAGUGCGAGUGAAGAUGCUCGCUACCCGCGAUUGGACGGAAAGACCUCGUAGAGCUUUACUGUAGCUUAGCAUUGAAUUCCGGUAUUGUCUGUACAGGAUAGGUGGGAGACUGGGAAACUAGGGCGUCAGCCUUAGUGGAGUCGUCCUUGGGAUACCACCCUGACAGUACUGGGGUUCUAACAGGACGCCAUGAAUCUGGUGACUGGACAUUGUUAGGUGGGCAGUUUGACUGGGGCGGUCGCCUCCUAAAAAGUAACGGAGGCGCCCAAAGGUUCCCUCAGAACGGUCGGAAAUCGUUCGUAGAGUGCAAAGGCAGAAGGGAGCCUGACUGCGAGACCUACAAGUCGAGCAGGGACGAAAGUCGGGCUUAGUGAUCCGGUGGUACCUCGUGGGAGGGCCAUCGCUCAACGGAUAAAAGCUACCUCGGGGAUAACAGGCUGAUCUCCCCCAAGAGUCCACAUCGACGGGGAGGUUUGGCACCUCGAUGUCGGCUCGUCGCAUCCUGGGGCUGUAGUAGGUCCCAAGGGUUGGGCUGUUCGCCCAUUAAAGCGGCACGCGAGCUGGGUUCAGAACGUCGUGAGACAGUUCGGUCCCUAUCCGUCGCGGGCGUAGGAAAUUUGAGAGGAGCUGUCCUUAGUACGAGAGGACCGGGAUGGACUGACCUCUGGUGCACCAGUUGUUCUGCCAAGAGCAUGGCUGGGUAGCUAAGUCGGGAAGGGAUAAACGCUGAAAGCAUCUAAGCGUGAAGCCUCCCUCAAGAUGAGAUUUCCCAUAGCAUAAGCUAGUAAGACCCCUUGAAGAACACGAGGUUGAUAGGUCAGAGGUGUAAGUGUGGUAACAUAUUUAGCUGACUGAUAGUAAUAGGUCGAGGGCUUGACCG